rnacentral:tRNA from 1 species
GCACUGGUGGUUCAGUGGUGGAAUCUUCGCCUUCUGUGUGGAAGACCCAGGUUUGAUUCCUGGCCGAUGCA